CCGGGUGCUUGCACCUGGGGAUUAGUGGCGAACGGGUGAGUAACACGUGAGUAACCUGCCCUGGACUCUGGGAUAACCCCGAGAAAUCGGAGCUAAUACCGGAUAGGACCUUUCCUCGCAUGAGGUUUGGUGGAAAGUUUUUCGGUCUGGGAUGGACUCGCGGCCUAUCAGCUUGUUGGUGAGGUAAUGGCUCACCAAGGCGUCGACGGGUAGCCGGCCUGAGAGGGUGACCGGCCACACUGGGACUGAGACACGGCCCAGACUCCUACGGGAGGCAGCAGUGGGGAAUAUUGCACAAUGGGCGCAAGCCUGAUGCAGCAACGCCGCGUGCGGGAUGACGGCCUUCGGGUUGUAAACCGCUUUUAGUAGGGAAGAAGGGCUUCGGCUUGACGGUACCUGCAGAAAAAGGACCGGCUAACUACGUGCCAGCAGCCGCGGUAAUACGUAGGGUCCGAGCGUUGUCCGGAAUUAUUGGGCGUAAAGAGCUCGUAGGCGGUUUGUCGCGUCUGCUGUGAAAACUAGAGGCUCAACCUCUAGCCUGCAGUGGGUACGGGCAGACUUGAGUGGUGUAGGGGAGACUGGAAUUCCUGGUGUAGCGGUGGAAUGCGCAGAUAUCAGGAGGAACACCGAUGGCGAAGGCAGGUCUCUGGGCACUUACUGACGCUGAGGAGCGAAAGCGUGGGGAGCGAACAGGAUUAGAUACCCUGGUAGUCCACGCCGUAAACGUUGGGCGCUAGAUGUGGGGACCUUUCCACGG
rnacentral:rRNA from 1 species